rnacentral:rRNA from 1 species
UUCCGGUUGAUCCUGCCGGAGGUCACUGCUAUUGGGGUUCGGCUAAGCCAUGCGAGCGGAGGGCGCGGUCGCAAGAUCGUGGCCCCGCACACGGCUCAGUAACACGUAGUUAACCUACCCUUGGGACGGGGACAACGCCGGGAAACUGGCGAUAAUCCCCGAUAGGUGAGGGACGCUGGAAUGCUUCCUCGCUCAAAGCUCCGGCGCCCGAGGAUGGGACUGCGGCCUAUCAGGCUGUUGGUGGUGUGACGGACCACCAAACCUACGACGGGUACGGGCGAUGGGAGUCGGAGCCCGGAGAUGGGGACUGAGACAAGGCCCCAGGCCCUACGGGGCGCAGCAGGCGCGAAAACUCCGCAAUGCGCGCAAGCGUGACGGGGGGACCCCAAGUGCCGUUGGUCUUUUGAUCGACGGCUUUUCGGAAGUCCAAUAAGCUUCCGGAAUAAGGGCUGGGUAAGACUGGUGCCAGCCGCCGCGGUGACACCAGCAGCCCAAGUGGUGGCCGCGAUUAUUGGGCCUAAAGCGCUCGUAGCCGGAUCAGCAAGUCCUUUGUGAAAUCGGGCCGCCCAACGGUUCGGCGUGCAAAGGAUACUGUUGGUCUUGAGACCGGGAGAGGUCGGAGGUACUCUUGGGGUAGCGGUGAAAUGCUGUAAUCCUAGGGGGACCACCAGUGGCGAAGGCGUCCGACCAGAACGGAUCUGACGGUGAGGGGCGAAGGCUAGGGGAGCGAACGGGAUUAGAUACCCCGGUAGUCCUAGCUGUAAAGCAUGCGGGCCAGGUGUCUAGCGCUCCUCGAGGGCGCUAUGUGCCGGAGGGAAGCCGUUAAGCUCGCCGCCUGGGAAGUACGGCCGCAAGGCUGAAACUUAAA